CAGCCUACGGGAGGCAGCAGUGGGGAAUAUUGCGCAAUGGGGGAAACCCUGACGCAGCAACGCCGCGUGCGGGAUGAAGGCCUUCGGGUUGUAAACCGCUUUCAGCAGGGAAGAUCCAAGACGGUACCUGCAGAAGAAGCCCCGGCUAACUACGUGCCAGCAGCCGCGGUAAUACGUAGGGGGCAAGCGUUAUCCGGAGUCAUUGGGCGUAAAGCGCGCGCAGGCGGGUUGCUAAGCGGGCACUCUCAUCUC
rnacentral:rRNA from 1 species